rnacentral:tRNA from 1 species
GAGGCUUUGGCUUAAUUAAAGUGUCUGAGUUGCAUUCAGGAGAUGUAGGAUAAAGUCUUACAAGUCUUA